rnacentral:rRNA from 1 species
ACGUAGGGAGCAAGCGUUGUCCGGAAUCACUGGGCGUAAAGCGCACGUAGGCGGAUUUGUAAGUCAGGGGUGAAAUCCCGGGGCUCAACCUCGGAACUGCCUUUGAUACUGCGAAUCUUGAGUCCGAUAGAGGUGGGUGGAAUUCCUAGUGUAGAGGUGAAAUUCGUAGAUAUUAGGAAGAACACCGGUGGCGAAGGCGGCCCACUGGAUCGGUACUGACGCUGAGGUGCGAAAGCGUGGGGAGCAAACAGGA